rnacentral:lncRNA from 1 species
UGAAGUUAAUAGAAAUACACCCAUCAGAUUUUUAUAAGUUAAUUUUAGUCUUAACCGACUUCCAAUAUGGGACUAAUCGGGAUAUUACAAUGAUAUGAGAAUAUCAGUUGAUUUCAAUUUCUUGAUUAAGUGUCUGUUUCUAAUAUAAAAAAUUUGCCUUCAGUUGUUUGAUACUACUACUGCAAAUAGAAAUGGAUACGAUUAUAUCCACAAGAUAAAAAUUCUUCAGUACAUGUAUAACCUAUAUAUAUGUGUGUGUGCAUGUGUGAAAUUAACAUUUUCCUCAUCAGAGCUCCACAAGUAGCCUAAGAUUUUACUAUAUCACCAUAACAAAGGUUUAAGAUGUAAAAAAAGGAUGCACUAGAACCAUUAACAUGCUUUGUCUAAGGCAACUUCAAAUCCAUAAAAUGUCUAAAACUGGGUCUGUAUAAUUAACCUUGACAGCUUGAGACAUUCAAAGUGUUCCAUAUGAAUCUAACUACUGGAAACAUGUCUCCCAUGCAAUUCUCAGACUUGGAAUUUGGUGUUUGAGGAGCAUUCAUUUGAAGUAAGAUUUGGGUUACAACUUAUGACAAGGCUCAUAAAUAAUUUUUCUUUCGUCACUCAUCAAGUCAAAUUAUAUUUUAACACACAAUAAACUAAAUAGAAAAUCAUCUAUGAUGUAACAACAAAACAUUACGAAACAGUGUUUAGCACAUUCCCCUAUAGGGGCAUUAAAAAUAUUCAUUUAACAAAUAUAUAUGCAUCUAUAAGAAGAAUAUCCUCAGUUGUUUCCCUCUUUAUGUCUGCAAUUAAAGGUGUCAUCUGCAUAAGAACACCAAACAAGAAGUAUCCCAAGAAAAUAAAUUGGUCAAUACAAGAUCUUACAAGAACUCCAGCACUCUGCAAUCACUAUAUUAAUAACCAGUUAAGAAAUCAUGAAAUAAGGUGCUCUAACAGGAUAUCUACUGUGCCAGCACCAAACUAGCAAGCCCAAAGCAGCACCAACCAAAACAUGCUGCACACCUUCUAUUUUGCCUGCUUCAAUACCUCAAUCUUGCAAAAUUACUAGUUACAACCUAAGCUACAAAACUGCCUUCAUUCCUAACAAGUCACUAACAUUUACAUGAUUACAAAAAGAUUUAUUUGCAUUACCAUUCACGUAAAGUGAGGCUAGAGCUACUCUCUAUUCAAACAUUUUGUCAACAGUGUCCAUUCAAAUUCUGAACAGUUAU